UAUAAUGAAAAUAUGACAUUUUUUAAAAUAAAUCUAACCUCACAUCUCUCUCCUUUAAAAUAAGACCAAACCUGUUAAAUUUAUACGGUGCGGAUCUUCUAUCUCUCUCGUUCGUGAUGCUUGUUACGACGGCGACUCAGCGGUUAGUGUAUUGCCGGAGAUAUUGGUGAACAGCGGUUGUGACCGGAGGCGCUUUCGUGUUUUAAUGUUUUCUCUUAUUUAAAUUUUGUUUCGGAGUUUUGGAAGAGAUGGAAGGACAGGCGAAGCUGGCUGACGAGGCCACAGUCAUCGCUGCUCCGAUCAUCCUCGACGGUGCGAUCGUUUUGCUAAUGGUCACUGUUACGAAGGAGCGUGGCACGAAGGACGGACGUAAGCAAGGGGUUAUGGUGCUUACUCUCGUUUAGAACCAGUGAUGCUAAAUGAUCUGGUGAGUGGGAUUCAGGGUGUCUUGUAAAUCCUCUUCAUCCGACGAGCGAGCCGAGCGCAGAGCGGUUCAGGCUGCGAGAGAAACGGCUAAGAAGGCAGUGAACCGGAGACGAGUAGAUGAACAAGUGAGUCGAGCAGUGGCUGGCAGCUAAUGAAGCUGCAACGGCUGCAAGAGUGGCUGCUGUUAAAGCCGUUCAGAAUCAGAUGGAUGGUUAUGUUAGCUGCUCCCUGGACAUAACAAAGUACACAAACAAGUUCUUGUCACAGUGAGUGGUACAGUACAUGUCUACAAGUGAAGACAAAACAGACAAUAAAGGAGGUUGAGGGUUUUUGCUUCGAGAGCAAGGAGCGCUGCUUGCAUUCUUCUUUGUAUUUAUACACCUUUUAACCAACAAGAAAAAAGCAAAUCAAAGCAGAAAGCAGAGAAAAAAAAACAAAAGGAGGAGAAAACAAUGGCAGGAGGAGGUUUGGUGAAACUUGGUCUGAAAAUGUUGUUUCCAGUUGUAAAGGAGGUGUUAACGGCGAUUGUCAAGAGAUGAAAAGGUUGGUUUGUGAAGGUUGGGAAGGCAACCGGUUCCUUCCUGAGAGGUUGGUUUGUGAAGGUUGGGAAGACAACCAGAUCCUUCUUGAGAGGGGUUUUGGAGAGAGUUGGGGCAGAAGAUGUGAGGGAGAGGAUUGAGAAGAUGAAGGAAGAGUAUGAGAUGUGGAGGAAGGAGAGGGAGGAGGAUGCUGAGGAGGAGGAAGAAGAAGAGGAGAACAAGUGGAGCAAGAUGGACGAAGCCAUGGAGCGGAGCUGCGGAGCGGUAAAUCCCUUUGUUUGGGGAAACUAGAGGAAAGUAGUUCUUGUGUCGUCUCGUCUCGUCUAGUGUCGUGAAAUAAUUUCGUUAGGUCAAAAUUCCUUUAGCCGUUCUCUUCUCUUCACUUUCCGGCGAUUUUCUCUUAUCAAAGUCGCAACCUUUCUCUCGCUUAUCAAAGUCGAAACAUUUCCCGGAAAACUCCUAAUUUCUCAACGCACUAAUAAUGUCCUUAGUUACAAUUAAAUUUUUAUUGUAUUUUGAUGAUUAUUAUGUAAAUAAAACAAAUGUAUUUGUUUUAAUUAAAAAGAUAUUUUAUUUACUGAUAAA